rnacentral:rRNA from 1 species
GAUGAACGCUGGCGGCGUGCCUAAUACAUGCAAGUCGAGCGAACGGACGAGAAGCUUGCUUCUCUGAUGUUAGCGGCGGACGGGUGAGUAACACGUGGAUAACCUACCUAUAAGACUGGGAUAACUUCGGGAAACCGGAGCUAAUACCGGAUAAUAUUUUGAACCGCAUGGUUCAAAAGUGAAAGACGGUCUUGCUGUCACUUAUAGAUGGGUCCGCGCUGCAUUAGCUAGCUGGUAAGGUAACGGCUUACCAAGGCAACGAUGCAUAGCCGACCUGAGAGGGUGAUCGGCCACACUGGAACUGAGACACGGUCCAGACUCCUACGGGAGGCAGCAGUAGGGAAUCUUCCGCAAUGGGCGAAAGCCUGACGGAGCAACGCCGCGUGAGUGAUGAAGGUCUUCGGAUCGUAAAACUCUGUUAUUAGGGAAGAACAUAUGUGUAAGUAACUGUGCACAUCUUGACGGUACCUAAUCAGAAAGCCACGGCUAACUACGUG